UGAUCAGGACAGUAUUUGAAUAGUUCAGGUUCCUCCCAGAAAUAAUGUUUAAUUUAUGAGAAAAAUCGAUCCUUUUCUUGUUUUGUCCAGUGAGAAGGUACUUGUCCUGUUGACAAGUAAUUGACAAUAUGGGCAAACCAUGGAGGACGGCUAGAGGAGAUUGUGAAAAGUUGUUCGUCAAAAAAUUUCUCUUUGACCUCAUCUAUGCCUAUCGUGUGUUCAACUAAGAUCUUAGAGAUGUGAUCAGCUAC
rnacentral:lncRNA from 1 species